GACGAACGCUGGCGGCGUGCUUAACACAUGCAAGUCGAACGGAAAGGCCCUGCUUUUGUGGGGUGCUCGAGUGGCGAACGGGUGAGUAACACGUGAGUAACCUGCCCUUGACUUUGGGAUAACUUCAGGAAACUGGGGCUAAUACCGGAUAGGAGCUCCUGCUGCAUGGUGGGGGUUGGAAAGUUUCGGCGGUUGGGGAUGGACUCGCGGCUUAUCAGCUUGUUGGUGGGGUAGUGGCUUACCAAGGCUUUGACGGGUAGCCGGCCUGAGAGGGUGACCGGCCACAUUGGGACUGAGAUACGGCCCAGACUCCUACGGGAGGCAGCAGGGGGGAAUAUUGCACAAUGGGCGGAAGCCUGAUGCAGCAACGCCGCGUGCGGGAUGACGGCCUUCGGGUUGUAGCCCGCUUUCGCCUGUGACGGAGCGUGAGUGACGGUAAUGGGUAAAGAAGCACCGGCUAACUACGUG
rnacentral:rRNA from 1 species